GUGGGGAAUAUUGGACAAUGGGCGAAAGCCUGAUCCAGCCAUGCCGCGUGUGUGAAGAAGGUCUUCGGAUUGUAAAGCACUUUAAGUUGGGAGGAAGGGCAGUAAGUUAAUACCUUGCUGUUUUGACGUUACCGACAGAAUAAGCACCGGCUAACUUCGUGCCAGCAGCCGCGGUAAUACGAAGGGUGCAAGCGUUAAUCGGAAUUACUGGGCGUAAAGCGCGCGUAGGUGGUUUUGUAAGUUGGAGGUGAAAUCCCCGGGCUCAACCUGGGAACUGCCUCCAAAACUGCAUGACUAGAGUACGGUAGAGGGUAGUGGAAGUUCCUGUGUAGCGGUGAAAUGCGUAGAUAUAGGAAGGAACACCAGUGGCGAAGGCGACUACCUGGACUGAUACUGACACUGAGGUGCGAAAGCGUGGGGAGCAAACAGGAUUAGAUACCCUUGUAGUCC
rnacentral:rRNA from 1 species